AUUCACAUCUUUAGUUUUAAAGCUUGUGGUCUGUUGGUAUAAUAACAUUCUGUCUUUUAUUAAAAGGUAUGCUCAAUUUUUUUGUUGGUACAAGCAUUCUGAAAUAUAAGGACAUAAUUUUUCUCUCAAAGAAUUCUAAUUUCACCCAGAGUAUUUAAAACGUCUAUAUUGUGAUAAACAUCCUGUUGUUUAUUUUGGUAUAUUAUCUAACAAAGAUGAAUUUCUAAUAAGAACGUAAAAAGAAUGAUCGUUAGUAACUAAGGAAGAAAAUAGUACAUCAAACUAAAUAUUGAGAACUGAUUAUAUUUGAAGUAAUUAUAACCAUGCCUCAGGUAUCUGACAUGGAUUGAUUUCAUUCUGUUUUUUGUAAAAGGUCUGACUUUUUUUCAGUGAUUUCUUACACAGAUCGUAUUAGAUGUGUUCAUGACAUGCAAGAAACCAUGAGUUUUAAAAUAUAGCUUAAUUUUUAAAGUUGUCAUUAAAAUUUUAAGAAUGAACAAGCUAUGAGAGAAAAAUAUUGCUGUUCUAAAUAUUAUUGAAAUGUAAAUACUAAAAAAAAAACAAAAAAGAGCUAUAGUAAAUUUUUAUGUCUUUGUAUUUAAAAUAUCAUUUCUUUUUCAGAGGGAUUGUAAAGUGUUCUGUUUUUUAGGAAAAGUUAUAUGGAAGAUGUUAAUUGCUUCUCAUUGCAGAUCUUUGACUAAUAUGAACCCUUGUUUUCUCAGAUUCCAGCUUUUGCUUUCUUUUGUGUACUUAUU